rnacentral:rRNA from 1 species
AGUGAACGCUGGCGGUAGACCUAACACAUGCAAGUCGAACGGCAGCACAGUAAGAGCUUGCUCUUACGGGUGGCGAGUGGCGGACGGGUGAGGAAUACAUCGGAAUCUACUUUUUCGUGGGGGAUAACGUAGGGAAACUUACGCUAAUACCGCAUACGACCUACGGGUGAAAGCAGGGGAUCUUCGGACCUUGCGCGAUUGAAUGAGCCGAUGUCGGAUUAGCUAGUUGGCGGGGUAAAGGCCCACCAAGGCGACGAUCCGUAGCUGGUCUGAGAGGAUGAUCAGCCACACUGGAACUGAGACACGGUCCAGACUCCUACGGGAGGCAGCAGUGGGGAAUAUUGGACAGUGGGCGCAAGCCUGAUCCAGCCAUACCGCGUGGGUGAAGAAGGCCUUCGGGUUGUAAAGCCCUUUUGUUGGGAAAGAAAAGCAGCAGGUUAAGACCCCGCUGUUCUGACGGUACCCAAAGAAUAAGCACCGGCUAACUUCGU